rnacentral:lncRNA from 1 species
CUUCAUUUUAUCACUUAAGCUAUUAUGCUUAUUACUCCUCUGCUAGAUUUUAUUUGUAAUGUUUUAUUUUGUUCCCAUUAAUGUUGGUAUAUGAGAGAACAGAUUUCUCUUUCGAAAAGCUUUGCUGCAAAGAGGAGGCAAAAGAGAGCUGAAGUUCCAGAGACGAAGAGGGGAGGGAGGUCACACUUCUAGAAUCUUCCCAGGCUCCCGGGAGGAAACCAGGAAAGAGCGAGAGCUUGAGAUGAAAGAGACCAAUAAAGGGCCAGCGCAGUGGAGGCAGUGGGACUGGCACACAAUGGCAGGGCGGCCCUGAGCAGGAAGAAGGACUGUCUGUGCUGUUGGCGUAUGAAGACUUGAGGAAGUCAUGGAGGAUGGAAACAUUUGCUGAGAGGAGUGGGGACAACUCAGGAUUGUCACAGGGUGCUGAAGCCCCAUUGAGGAGACAGACCGUAAUUUGGGGUGACAUCAGUCUGCAAGAGCACCAGGUAUCAGUUGCCUCCUCAACCCCUUCAAGAAAAGCAAGAGAUCCACUGACCCACCCUGAGCACUGCAGUGCACUGGAGGCUGAGACCAGCUGGGCCGCACAACCUUGGGUCAACCCUACUGGAACCUCUUCUACUUUCUACAGUGGUAGCCUCUGGGCCCUCCAGGUAAGGCAGGAGGCUACAAACUCCCCCAAGGCAGAAGUGAAAUCAGGGAGACACGGACCAGAAGGAAAACGGGUCAAAUGGCCCCUGCGCUGGAGCACUGCAGCUCUGCUUUUAAUAACUGGCCAGGUGUACACGAGACCCAAGAGAGACCUGGAAAUGGAAUCCCUUGCAGGGGCUCAAGACCUCUUGCUGUCGACAAAUUGAUUGAUACCAGUUGAAUGUAGCAGCUGCUCAAUGAGAAGAUUAGGAGCGUCUGCCGUCUGGAUCAUUGAAAGGAUUUGCGUCUGCUCCUCUCUGGCCUCAGUCUUUGACUGCUCCCUUCAUUCCCGAGUCCUUCAAAUAAAGCCUUUGAUUGCUGAAG